AUUGAACGCUGGCGGCAGGCCUAACACAUGCAAGUCGAGCGAGCGGCGGACGGGUGAGUAAUGUCUGGGAAACUGCCUGAUGGAGGGGGAUAACUACUGGAAACGGUAGCUAAUACCGCAUACCAUCGGAUGUGCCCAGAUGGGAUUAGCUAGUAGGUGGGGUAAAGGCUCACCUAGGCGACGAUCCCUAGCUGGUCUGAGAGGAUGACCAGCCAAACUGGGACUUAGAAACGGCCCGAACGCCUACGGGAGGCAGCAGGGGGGAAUAUUGCACAAUGGGCGCAAGCCUGAUGCAGGCAUGCCGCGGGGAUGAAGAAGGCCUUCGGGUUGUAAAGUACUUUCAGCGGGGAGGCGUUACCCGCAGAAGAAGCACCGGCUAACUCCGUGCCAGCAGCCGCGGUAAUAC
rnacentral:rRNA from 1 species